CUCUCCGUAGCUCAGUUGGCAGAGCAGCUGACUCUUAAUCAGCGGGUCGCGGGUUCGAAUCCCUCCGGGGAGA
rnacentral:tRNA from 2 species